ACUCAAAUGAAUAGACGGGGGACCGCACAAGCAGUGGAGUAUGUGGUUUAAUUCGACGCAACGCGAAGAACCUUACCAGGGCUUGACAUAUAUGGGAAUAGUAGAGAGAUCUACUAGCUCUUCGGAGCUCAUAUACAGGUGGUGCAUGGUUGUCGUCAGCUCGUGUCGUGAGAUGUUGGGUUAAGUCCCGCAACGAGCGCAACCCCUAUGGUUAGUUGCCAGCACGUAAUGGUGGGAACUCUAGCCAGACUGCCGAUGAUAAAUCGGAGGAAGGAGGGGACGAUGUCAAAUCAUCAUGCCCUAUAUGUCCUGGGCUACACACGUACUACAAUGGUCGUAACAGAGGGAAGCGAAGCAGCAAUGUGGAGCAAAACCCAAAAAGCGACCUCAGUUCGGAUUGAAGGCUGAAAUUCGCCUUCAUGAAGCUGGAAUUGCUAGUAAUGGCAGGUCAGCAUACUGCCGUGAAUACGUUCCCGGUCCUUGCACACACCGCCCGU
rnacentral:rRNA from 1 species